rnacentral:miRNA from 1 species
GUGAGCAAAGCUUCAAAUGAG